AUAUAGUAUGCCUAGUGUUUUGUUCUUAGAAACCAUUUUGGUAAAACCCAAUUUUCGUGCUUUCUAUUUCCUUUCCAUAGUGAUACCUUUUAAACUAAAUUUUGGAAGCUUUGUGUUGGGAUUUUGAUGGGGCUUUGUGAAGGAAAAAUGUUCCUUAGAUAGUGAGGGUUCUUUUGAUAUCAAACAUGAGUCCAUUUCUUUUGUUGCUGGGUUUGGAAAGUGGUGUUAAAAGAAGAGGGUUUUGGUUGCAAACAAAGAAGGAAGUGUUCUUCAUUUUCUACCUUGGAAGGCUUUGAUCCAUCAUUUGAGUUACUUUAAGUUGUGAUUGUUGCUGAGUUUCAAGCUUCUUUGAGGUCAUGGCACGGAUGGUAUGGAGGGUGUUCCUCCUCAGCUGUAGACAGAGUCGGGGCUAGUGUUGUAGUGUUUUGUUCCACAUAAUAGACUAUGUUUUGUCUUAUAUUUCUUUAGAAUUUUCCUGGCAUGUAAUAAAUGUUCUUUCAGACUUUAAAACUUUAAAGUUUUAAUAUUGGCAUCUUAUCUAUUUAUUUUCAGUCUUGAUUUUAUAAAGGGAAAUAGAUAGGUGGAUGCGUGGUUGAGACAGGUUACAAGGAUAUUUAUUAAUUUUGAGACUGUGAUUAUUUGUGUGUUGUGUUCACAAUCCGGACCACGGUCUAGGGGCGUAACACUUUUCUUUGUAGUCGGUGGAUUGCCUUAUAUAUAUGAGUGUUUUGUGCACUGAUAAAAUACAAAGACAGAGAAGGGAAGUAAGAGAAAAAAUUAGAGUGUGAGUUUGAGAACACAGACAAGGGGCCGAGAGUUGCAGAGGCAGCCGGAAGCUUUGGUGACAUGGUGAUUCUGUAACGACCCGGUCAUUUGCCUCCCUUUCCUUUUUCCUAAAAUUUUACGAAUGAAUUUUUUUCAUUUAAUUUUCUUUUCUGAGCUCAGUUUCGUGUCGCUUAGUUUCAUCUCGAGUGCUCGGAAUUGGUUUCUGAGACUCUUUCAUGUGAAUUGACAACUUCCUUUGAGGACCGAGUCAUUUUCGCAUUUUCACUUUUCAGACACUAUGCACUAUUUCAUCCUUUUUCCUAUUCUGUCUUUUUCCCAUUUGUCACAUUGUUGGCACAACCUCACUUCUCAUGCUCGGAGUUGGUUUUUGACUUCACGUGCCUUCAUCUUGAGUGGUUUCCUCGAAAUACGUAUUUUUACUUUUGCAAAAAGGUACUCUGGUUGCUCCUGGUGCCCAAAGGAGCGUGGAUGCAUAAUUCUUCAGAAUCUUUUUCAUUUCUUGGGGUAUUUUUCGUAAAUAUCUUUUGAAGAUAUUUUAAUUCAUGGUAUCUAAGAAAAUAUCUUUUGGAAGAUAUUUUCAUUCUAGGGCAGUUUCGCAGUUAACCCUUUUUGUAGGGGUCAUUGUGCAAUCAACAAACGUUAUUGCAAAAUACCUCGUCUGGAGCCUGGAUCCUCGUACGGGAUUCAUUUUCACAUUUCCUCAGGUUGUGGACUCUUAGAAUUCCGUUCUGGUCGUUUUUCUCCAGUUUCAGAGUUUUUGGACCCGGUUGCCCCUGAACUUGUUCGAGGCAUAACUUUUUGUUUGGGACUUAAUUUUCAACACCGUUUCUUUUGUUGUUCAUAUUUUCUUAUUUUGAAUCUUUUUUGUUCAUGGAGUUUUGCCGUUUGAGCGCGUUUGCUCAAAAUCCACUUUUCCGGACCCGGCCCUUUCGGGGUACUUUUUGAGAUUUCUAUAAAUAGGUUGCCCUAAUUUUUAAAAUCAUAUUUUUAGACCUUCUUCUUCCUCUUGGUCGAUAGCCAUGGGAGCCCAAGGGGCUGCCUUCACUCUUUCUUCUCCUCCACCUGAUUUCCUUGGUAGAAAUCCUCCGGCCUUAGCAUUUGUUGUUCCCCUCGUCGUGCUUUACCUUUCCCCCUUAUUAGAAUUCAUUUCUGACCAUUUCUUGAGUUUGGGCUUGAGGUUAAGUUGUGAUUUUCAUGAGGCUUCUUGGGUAUUCAUGUAGAUCAUGUUGUCCCCGAUAAAACCCUUCGAUUUCGGCGGAUUCGGAACACUUUUCUUCCGGUGGGGAUUUGAGAUUUCCAUCUCAAAUUGAGGUAAAGAAGCCUUAGUGUGGGAGGCACAGCAUUCUUAGACUUACUAGAGUUCUUGAAGUAAUUUUGAUGACAUAGAAUGUGCAUAUGUUAGUAUAUCUUGUCCUACUUUUGCUUACUUUGAUAAAACUUGUACUUAUUAUCUAAGUUAUGUAAUGUGCACUUAAGUGCACCUUUUGACACUCUUAGAAUUUGGUUGUAAUGAGGCCAAGGGCCAAAGACACUUAUGUGAAAUGUAUGCUAACUUUGAACUUCA